UACCACCAGGUCCAAAACCAUGGCCCAUCAUUGGCAAUUUGAACCUACUUGGUCCUAUACCACAUCAAUCUUUUGACUUGCUUUCCAAAAAAUAUGGAGAGUUGAUGCUGCUGAAAUUUGGCUCCAGGCCAGUUCUUGUUGCUUCAUCUGCUGAAAUGGCAAAACAGUUUUUAAAAGUACAUGAUGCUAAUUUCGCCUCCCGUCCUAUGCUAGCUGGUGGAAAGUAUACAAGCUAUAACUAUUGUGACAUGACAUGGGCACCCUAUGGUCCCUAUUGGCGCCAAGCACGACGAAUUUACCUUAACCAGAUAUUUACUCCGAAAAGGCUAGACUCGUUCGAGUACAUUCGUGUUGAAGAAAGGCAGGCCUUGAUUUCCCAGCUGAAUUCCCUUGCUGGAAAGCCAUUUUUUCUCAAAGACCAUUUGUCGCGAUUUAGCCUCUGCAGCAUGACAAGGAUGGUUUUGAGCAACAAGUAUUUUGGUGAAUCAACAGUUAGAGUAGAAGAUUUGCAGUACCUGGUAGAUCAAUGGUUCUUACUUAAUGGUGCUUUCAACAUUGGAGAUUGGAUUCCAUGGCUCAGCUUCUUGGACCUACAAGGCUAUGUGAAACAAAUGAAGGCUUUGAAAAGAACUUUUGAUAAGUUCCACAACAUUGUGCUAGAUGAUCACAGGGCUAAGAAGAAUGCAGAGAAGAACUUUGUCCCAAAAGACAUGGUUGAUGUCUUGUUGAAGAUGGCUGAAGAUCCUAAUCUGGAAGUCAAACUCACUAAUGACUGUGUCAAAGGGUUAAUGCAGGUUAGUUCCUACUAAGGUUAUAAAAAUAAUUUCUCAAGAUUUUCUCUUGUUUUAGACAAAAAUGCUAACCUUGUUAAACUAUGGCAGGAUUUACUAACUGGAGGAACAGAUAGCUUAACAGCAGCAGUGCAAUGGGCAUUUCAAGAACUUCUUAGACAGCCAAGGGUUAUUGAGAAGGCAACCGAA
rnacentral:lncRNA from 1 species